UCACUUCGGCAGCACAUAUACUAAAAUUGGAAUGAUACAGAGAAGAUUAGCAUGGCCGUUGUGCGAGGAUGAAUGCAAAUUCAUGAAGCGUUCCAUAUUUAA